CUCGUAGGCGGUUCGUCGCGUCCGGUGUGAAAGUCCAUCGCUUAACGGUGGAUACGCGCCGGGUACGGGCGGGCUUGAGUGCGGUAGGGGAGACUGGAAUUCCCGGUGUAACGGUGGAAUGUGUAGAUAUCGGGAAGAACACCAAUGGCGAAGGCAGGUCUCUGGGCCGUUACUGACGCUGAGGAGCGAAAGCGUGGGGAGCGAACA
rnacentral:rRNA from 1 species